UUUCAGCUAUUUUAGAACUAAUAAACAAUUGUCAAUGUCAUGGCCAACACGGAGCAGAAGCCGCGGCACUUACGGAAGAUCAAAGGCAGGAGACGAGCUCUUCUUUGGGAAGAGGACGGGAGAGAGACCGUCCUCCUCCCUACGUGGUCUCGGGCUCCAGCCCAGGUGGCAGCCGCCGAUUCCUCCUUCUGUGGACCCCACCUGAGGGGCAGGGACUUGUGCGUGUGGGGCUGCACCCAGGUGUCCUGUCGCCACACUUGCGGCUGUCUGGCAGGUCCCCAACACUGUGUUUUUGCCUCAAAGAGCACCCACUGCGUGCUGAGCACCCUGAUGAAUUUCUUGGGGUGGAUAAAUGACAAGGGCAUUUGUUUCUGAUGGCAGAAACCACGUGAUAGGGCCCAGUGAGCUGCGUGUGGAUAGCGGGGCCGCUCCUGCGUCUCUCAGCCUCUCCCUUCCCG
rnacentral:lncRNA from 1 species